CCCGAUGGCGACCGGCGCACGGGUGAGUAACGCGUAUCCAACCUGCCCUUCACCACGGGAUAACCCGGCGAAAGUCGGACUAAUACCGUAUGUUGUCCAUUGACGGCAUCCGAUUUGGACGAAAGGCUUGGCGGUGAGGGAUGGGGAUGCGUCCGAUUAGCCAGACGGCGGGGUAACGGCCCACCGUGGCGACGAUCGGUAGGGGUUCUGAGAGGAAGGUCCCACACACUGGAACUGAGACACGGUCCAGACUCCUACGGGAGGCAGCAGUGAGGAAUAUUGGUCAAUGGGCGUAAGCCUGAACCAGCCAAGUAGCGUGCAGGACGACGGCCCUAUGGGUUGUAAACUGCUUUUAUGCGGGGAUAAAGUGGCCCACGUGUGGGUUUUUGCAGGUACCGCAUGAAUAAGGACCGGCUAAUUCCGUGCCAGCAGCCGCGGUAAUACGGAAGGUCCGGGCGUUAUCCGGAUUUAUUGGGUUUAAAGGGAGCGUAGGCCGCGCCUUAAGCGUGUUGUGAAAUCCGGGUGCUCAACAUCCGGCUUGCAGCGCGAACUGGGGCGCUUGAGUGCGCAGAAAGUAGGCGGAAUUCGUGGUGUAGCGGUGAAAUGCUUAGAUAUCACGAGGAACUCCGAUUGCGAAGGCAGCCUACUGUAGCGCUACUGACGCUGAUGCUCGAAAGCGUGGGUAUCGAACAGGAUUAGAUACCCUGGUAGUCCACGCGGUAAACGAUGGAUGCUCGUUGUCGGCCCUUUGGGUCGGUGACCAAGCGAAAGCGUUAAGCAUCCCACCUGGGGAGUACGCCGGCAACGGUGAAACUCAAAGGAAUUGACGGC
rnacentral:rRNA from 1 species